ensembl:snRNA U6 U6 spliceosomal RNA
GUGCUUGCUUCAGCAGCACAUAUACUAAAAUUGAAAUGAUACAGAGAAGAUUAGCAUGGCCCCUGUGCAAGGAUGAUGCAAAUUCAUGAAAUGUUCCAUAUUUUU